AUAUAAGAAAAGGAAUCUCUUGAGGAAGGAGAGGCUUGGAGAUCCUUAGAUCCUUGGAGAUAGAUCCUUUUGGAGGAGGCCUUUUGAAGAUCUCUUGAGAAGAAGUCCCUUGGGAGGCUGACUCUGGCUGGAACUCCCUCUGGGGAGACUCUGUUCCCCAGACACCCUUGCUUAAGACAAAUCUUGUGUCCAAGAGUCUCCAAAGUGGAAGCCAUGUCUUGACCUCAAGAAGUGUUUAAUUAUCCAACCAAAAAAAAAUAUUCCAAGAUGGAAGGUUAUUUUUUCCUAGAAGAUAGAUUUAAAACCCAAAGAGCCCCUAUGAAAUCAGCACUAAUAUUUAUUUUGAAGGCAUCUGCUUCUAUGUUGACACAAAGGAACUGGCCCAUGGUGGGAAUGUUCAAGAAUUUGGGACAUGCUUUGAGACUGCAAUGAGGCAGCACCAAGUGACUAUGGACUUUGUGCCAAGCAAGUAUUUCUGCUACUCUCACACUACAAGUCUAAUUGACUACUUGAUUUGAUGUACUGAAUUCUGAAUAAUUCUAAUAUCAAAGAAAAAUAGCAACAUUAUCCUCAUUGCCAUUUUAAAAUUUGUUUUCUUGGGUUUCAGGGAUGUUGGAACUUUCCAUAACAAAAUGAUGCUUUUUUCCCCCCUGGGUUGUUAAGGAAACAUUGAGUUUCUUCCCUGGUCCCUAUUUUCUUCAAAAACAUGGCAGAGUAAUGAGUUUUUGUUGAAAUAUCAGAUCAGCUAAAUGUCAGAUCUUUUCAGUUUUUGUUCAUCACUAAAAUGGCAAAAGGAGAGUUGUACAAUUUUCAAACAAAUUUCAUUCUUACUCAAAUUUCCUUUGAGAAUGAGUCUAUUCACUAAAUCUAUUUCUGGAAUGCUCUGUCUCCUCAUUUCCAUAUUUUAGCUUCCCUGGUUUCCUUCAAGUCCCAGAAAAAAAUCCCACCUUUCCCAACCCCUUCCCACCUUAAUUCUAGUUCCCUUUGUCUGUUGGUUAUUUUCAAUUUAUCCUGUGUCUAGUUUAUUUGGCAUACAUUUUUUUCUCAUAUUGCCUACUUCUUUUGACUAGGAGCUCCUUGACAGUAGGGCCUAUCUUUUCUUUCUGUAUAUCCCUAUAAUUUGGCACACUACCUGGUACAUUGUAAGACAUAAUAAAUGUUUAUGACCACUAACUGAAUACCUAUCC
ensembl:lncRNA